rnacentral:tRNA from 1 species
GGGUUCGUAGCUCAGUGGUAGAGCAGAGGGCCUUUAACCCUACGGUCGGAGGUUCAACCCCUCCCGGACCCA